rnacentral:tRNA from 1 species
GCUUUCAUAACUCAAUUGGUAGAGCAUUCGCCUAGAUAGCGAAAGGCCCCUAGUUCAAGCUUGGAUAGAGGCA